rnacentral:rRNA from 1 species
GUAAUCGCGCAUCAGCCAUGGCGCGGUGAAUACGUUCCCGGGCCUUGUACACACCGCCCGUCAAGCCAUGGGAGUUGGGGGUGCCUGAAGUACGUGACCGCAAGGAGCGUCCUAGGGCAAAACCGAUGACUGGGGCUAAGUCGUAACAAGGUAGC